UCUAGAUGAGAGGGGACCGCGUCGCAGGGGGGGGGGACUGGCACAAAAUGUCACAAGAAAACAGCACCAUCACAGAGAACAUACGGACACCACUUCAGCAUCUGCACAGGGUCUGUUCCAACUGAGAGCGAAAACUGGAUUAAAUUUACUUUUGGAGCUUUGACUUGUUAUGGCCAUGCCGGAUUUAUCAAGGACACAGUCCUGGCAUAACCAGCAGGAUCAGAUGACACAGGUGGACUCCUCACUGGCCGCAGCAUUGUGUAACACCAGCCAGUACUGUGUUUAUCGUCCUGGACUGUUGGGGGAGAAGUCCUGUCCUGCCCUGGAUCAGCACAUACAGCCCCGAGAAAGAAUGCCUUGUGCUCCGAUGAAUAUUAAGAUAAGAAUCAUAAUUUGGGCCAAAUCCAAAUAGACUAAAAGGUGUAAAAAAAAAAAAAAAAAAAAAACUGAAACUACAGCAGGGUGUGUCUCUCUCUCACCCAUCCCCUCUGUGAGCAAGUGUCCAGGGAAAGUGUUUUAUGGUCAGAGGAGGUGUAGCGGGAUCAGGGUGAAAGAGGGACAGUAAGGGUGUUGGUCUGAGAAGCAGUGAGAGUGUAAAUCAGGUGUUUGAGCAUGGCAGGGGGGGGGUGAAAAAAGAGGAACAACAGGGUCUCAUGGUAAAAUUGGUGGUGAGAGAGUAGGCUGAUCUGCUGAUGAGAGAUGCUCAAAUGUUUAGUCAAACCUGUAGAAACUUCUGCUGUAAAUUCACAUACUUGACAGUGUUGCAGGAAAUCUGGGAAAAUGCAAAAGGCGGCUGCACAGAAACUCAAUGUUAUUCCAGGCUCAAAGAUUUGUUGACUUUUCCUAUUAUUUCUUCAAAAAUUGAACUGAGAGAGGUUUGAAAGUGGCACAAUAUGAUGCAACUACUUCUCAGAAUAGAAAACAAAGAGCUGCCCACUUGCAGAAGCAUGUCCAAAUGUGAAUAUGUAUUUGUGUUUACUAGAGUACAGAACAUUGCAUUCCCUCCUCCUGAGCCACGCCCCGGAAGAGCUCAAACCUCUGCCAAGAUGCAGCACAUCAAACUCCCCUUCUUUCCCUCCCUGGACCUCUUGUUUACAGGAAGCAGCUCAAGGGCUAACACCUUACAUCAGACCUUGUCAAGUCUCACUCAUCUUAUCUAUGUUUUCUUAGGUUCACCGUGUCCACAUCAACAUGUUCCUCCAGUCACGGAUGACAGCAGCGUGACAGCUCUUAGCCAGACUGAACCAGAAAAACAGUACUUUUUUUUUUUUUUUACAUUUUUUUUUUUUUUACAUUUUUACAUUAGAAUGCAACAUGAGGCCUGUAAACAAACCGUUUUGUGCCUGCUGAUCUCCACCAUUUUGUUCAAUUCAGCUCAGAUAAACAAAGUUAACCUACAGCUGCAUGAAAAUUCCCACUGACUGCAGAAAGGCUCAGUCCUGCCGUGUUAAGAUAAAACCUGUUGCUAGUGGCAACAGCACAGAGACACAGUUGAUCACAACGACACUGCUGUCACAGUGGACAAGAUAAAUAUCACCAAGUCUGUUGAGAACCAUUAAGAUUAAAUUCCUCAGCCUUCAUCUGAAGGCUGACACAAGCCUCUGCAGGGUGAACCUUUUUGGGCUAUGAAAUCAUUUGGAUAAACUCAAAUAUGUCCUAUAAGUUGCAAGGUUUUCACCUGAACAUAAAAAGAAGUUUUUUUUUGCCAUCAUUAUUUUGAAUCAUGAAUCAUGGAUUGAGUUUAUUUACAGAUUAUGUUAUUGUGACGCCUCGAGUCCCUGACACAGGCCUCAUGCAGAAACUGUUCCCUGUGGUGGUGCAAAUGUUUGAUCAGGUUUUCCUUUAUUAUCCACACUUGUCCAUUGCUGUACAUAUGUGUCUCUAAUUAAAAUAGUUUCAUUCUGUUCUGUAUGACACUGUAAACAUGGCACUGAAACACUCAGUAGACACUAGGUAAGUUUCUAUGCCUGAUACUGGCGACCCACAUUAUGCCAGAUCAAGUAAAAUACACUUUUAAAAAGGACUGUGAUGACAGGUUGUCUGUCUGUUGUGAUCACAGGUGAUAGACAGUGUUGAGGCACAUUAGACAACAACAUGUGAAUUUCUUGGCCCCUAAAAAUGAACAGAAACAGUCCCUUUUUUUGGAGUCCCAAAAAAUGGCAUAACUUCAUCAAAUGAACUGUUUGGGAAUUGAAAACGUUAAUCUCUGUGUGCUGAUUGUAUGUUAAACAUGUAUGAAGGAAGAAGAGGUCAGAUUUUAUACAUAUAUAUACAUGUGUAUUAGGGGAAAAUAAAAAGCUUGGCUUGGUGUACUAAUCAAGCACUAACGUCAGUUUAGCUACUGUAGCCAGGCAGCAGUUCAUGCUCUGGAAGUAGCUGUGCCUCAGUCAGCAUGACGAGGCCUGGAUCCGGGAUACUGUAUCCUGACGCCAAGCCUGCUUUGAUGCACAGCCAGAGGGUCCCUGCUGAUUCAGACUCUCCCUCCUAUUCGACUGUACGUUCACAACAACCUAUGACUACUUGAAUCAACUCUGACCAGAAUGACAUCAAGAAGAACAACGUAAAAGGAGAAGGAUGAGAUGCAGACCAGGCAGCUACGCAGACAAGCCUGGAAGAAAGAGCCCUCGAAGUGAACCUAAUCAUUGUUAUGUUGUUCAUUAGAAAAUGAAAAGAAACUGUGUAGUAAGCAUUACUGAUGGAAAGCUGUUUGAGAUUUAGUUCUGUCUUGUCCUGUGUGUUUGUCAUUAAAACGCUUAAAUGAUUAAAUCGGUCUUAGCACAGUCAGGCCAGACUGAAAACAACGGUGUUGUUGUGCCCUCACUAAUCUCUCUCUGUUGUAAGUCCACUGUGAGAACUUUUCUUUCUUUGCAGGUAUGCUCUGUGUGAGGUUGUGUUCACUGUAUGUGUCACUAAAAUGCAGAAAGAACCUUGGACAGAAAGGUACUGGAAUAAAAACGCUUGAUUGUG